ACCAGAGAUGUCUCCAAGAGCACCAGCAACCCCAGCUAUCUGGAUCUGAAGUGGAUCUGCUCAGAGACAUCCUGGCCCACCCCAAAGAAGAUGCUGCUGCACUCAGAAGACGCCAGAGCUAGCCACCACCCACACUGCAAGUCUGGAAGCUCUGCCAGGACCCAGCAAGGCAGCCUGCUCAGCGAAGGCUUUGUCUCCUGUGGCAGGAAGAGCAACAUUAAGAACAAGAACCCCGGGCUGGACUACCCUUGAGAUUUAAUGACCAGAGCUGAGACCCCCAAGACCACAAUGACUAUGGAGGGCUGUCAUUACCUUGCCUGACCCUCUAAUGCAUCUCAGUUCAUGGAGGCCACUGAGUGAAACCGAAGGCUGGUUUUCCUUGGAAGCCAGCGGCCCAUCCACCUGCUCCACUUCCCUGCCUCUUGCAGCCUCUGCUCAAACACUGUCGUGGCUUGGCAGCACUACAAGGCAGAGUGAAAACAGAUACUUCUGCCCACAUUCCUAUCUCCUCUCAUUUACGCAGAUUAAAUGCUUUCUUUCCUUGUUUUACACUGCUAGGAUUUUCAUCACCCUGUUUUUUCUUUCUCUACAUCAGCUACAAGAAAAAAAAAAAAGGAGUUACUGAGCAACUAAGAUGUCACAACUGUUUUCAGUUUUAUUAAUGAGUUGUUAUACUUAUUUUAUAGAUAGAGAAUUACCAUUAUAACAUUGCUCCAUUGCUCACUCAUCCAUUCACGCAUCUGUCCAUCCGUCCAUCCACCCAUUUGUCCACUCCCCAAAUGGUCAUCAAUUGUCUACUGUGAGCCAAGCAAAGUGCUCCUUACUUUGGACUCUGAAUCCAGUGCUCUUUCUGCUUCACCAUAGACACAUGCCCCUUGAGUAUAAGGGAGCUUGAUUCAUUCAACAAAUAUCUGUUGUCCACCUCCAAUGUACUGGCAUGUUCUAAAUGCAUCCAACAAAAACCAAAAUGAAAAAAAAGAAAAACCCAUUCCUUCAAGGGGAUUGAAUUUGGACUGGGGGAGACAGAUAAAAUAAAAAUAAUAAAGUCAAAUAUAUAUGUUAGUGACAUGUGCCGUGAAGAAUAAUGCCCAAUAGUAUUUCAGGGGCUGCCAAGCUGCUCUCCUGUUUCCUCUUCCUUGGGGCUGAUUGCAUCCCAUGAUGUGCCCAGGUUUUGAGAUGCUCCUCGUGAAUGAAAAUAGAACUGUCUGGUUCCUCCGUCCAUAGCAAGGGAGCCUGGACAGAAAUAACUUCUGUGCGUUUCUCCAGCUACAUUUAGCUGAAAAUAUGUCUAC
rnacentral:lncRNA from 1 species